AGUGAACGCUGGCGGUAGGCCUAACACAUGCAAGUCGAACGGCAGCACAGUAAGAGCUUGCUCUUACGGGUGGCGAGUGGCGGACGGGUGAGGAAUACAUCGGAAUCUACUUUUUCGUGGGGGAUGACGUAGGGAAACUUACGCUAAUACCGCAUACGACCUACGGGUGAAAGCAGGGGAUCUUCGGACCUUGCGCGAUUGAAUGAGCCGAUGUCGGAUUAGCUAGUUGGCGGGGUAAAGGCCCACCAAGGCGACGAUCCGUAGCUGGUCUGAGUGGAUGAUCAGCCACACUGGAACUGAGACACGGUCCAGACUCCUACGGGAGGCAGCAGUGGGGAAUAUUGGACAAUGGGCGCAAGCCUGAUCCAGCCAUACCGCGUGGGUGAAGAAGGCCUUCGGGUUGUAAAGCCCUUUUGUUGGGAAAGAAAAGCAGCAGGUUAAUACCCCGCUGUUCUGACGGUACCCAAAGAAUAAGCACCGGCUAACUUCGUG
rnacentral:rRNA from 1 species